UCUCUCUUCCACUGCAUCACACUUGGGGAAGAUGCAAGAAUGACUUUCCGGACUGCAAAGCCCUCAGAAGGAUCACUGUUAAAUUCUUCACAUUGAAACACGGAUUUAAGAAGAUAACAACUAAAGACUGGCAUCUGUGGUCCUCACACAACUGAAUACUCCUACUUAUUUACUGGGCAUUUAA